rnacentral:rRNA from 1 species
GAUGAACGCUGGCGGCGUGCCUAAUACAUGCAAGUCGAGCGAACAGAUGAGGAGCUUGCUCCUCUGACGUUAGCGGCGGACGGGUGAGUAACACGUGGAUAACCUACCUAUAAGACUGGGAUAACUUCGGGAAACCGGAGCUAAUACCGGAUAAUAUAUUGAACCGCAUGGUUCAAUAGUGAAAGACGGUUUUGCUGUCACUUAUAGAUGGAUCCGCGCCGCAUUAGCUAGUUGGUAAGGUAACGGCUUACCAAGGCAACGAUGCGUAGACGACCUGAGAGGCGGAUAGGCCACACUGGAACUGAGACACGGUCCAGACUCCUACGGGAGGCAGCAGUAGGGAAUCUUCCGCAAUGGGCGAAAGCCUGACGGAGCAACGCCGCGUGAGUGAUGAAGGUCUUCGGAUCGUAAAACUCUGUUAUGAGGGAAGAACAAAUGUGUAAGUAACUAUGCACGUCUUGACGGUACCUAAUCAGAAAGCCACGGCUAACUACGUG